rnacentral:rRNA from 1 species
AGAGUUUGAUCAUGGCUCAGGAUGAACGCUGGCGGCGUGCCUAACACAUGCAAGUCGAGCGAUUCUCUUCGGAGAAGAGCGGCGGACGGGUGAGUAACGCGUGGGUAACCUGCCCUGUACACACGGAUAACAUACCGAAAGGUAUGCUAAUACGAGAUAAUAUACUUUUAUCGCAUGGUAGAAGUAUCAAAGCUCCGGCGGUACAGGAUGGACCCGCGUCUGAUUAGCUAGUUGGUAAGGUAACGGCUUACCAAGGCGACGAUCAGUAGCCGACCUGAGAGGGUGAUCGGCCACAUUGGAACUGAGACACGGUCCAAACUCCUACGGGAGGCAGCAGUGGGGAAUAUUGCACAAUGGGCGAAAGCCUGAUGCAGCAACGCCGCGUGAGCGAUGAAGGCCUUCGGGUCGUAAAGCUCUGUCCUCAAGGAAGAUAAUGACGGUACUUGAGGAGGAAGCCCCGGCUAACUACGUGCCAGCAGCCGCGGUAAUACGUAGGGGGCUAGCGUUAUCCGGAAUUACUGGGCGUAAAGGGUGCGUAGGUGGUUUCUUAAGUCAGAGGUGAAAGGCUACGGCUCAACCGUAGUAAGCCUUUGAAACUGGGAAACUUGAGUGCAGGAGAGGAGAGUGGAAUUCCUAGUGUAGCGGUGAAAUGCGUAGAUAUUAGGAGGAACACCAGUUGCGAAGGCGGCUCUCUGGACUGUAACUGACACUGAGGCACGAAAGCGUGGGGAGCAAACAGGAUUAGAUACCCUGGUAGUCCACGCCGUAAGCGAUGAGUACUAGCUGUCGGAGGUUACCCCCUUCGGUGGCGCAGCUAACGCAUUAAGUACUCCGCCUGGGAAGUACGCUCGCAAGAGAGAAACUCAAAGGAAUUGACGGGGACCCGCACAAGUAGCGGAGCAUGUGGUUUAAUUCGAAGCAACGCGAAGAACCUUACCUAAGCUUGACAUCCUUUUGACCGAUGCCUAAUCGCAUCUUUCCCUUCGGGGACAGAAGUGACAGGUGGUGCAUGGUUGUCGUCAGCUCGUGUCGUGAGAUGUUGGGUUAAGUCCCGCAACGAGCGCAACCCUUGCCUUUAGUUGCCAGCAUUAAGUUGGGCACUCUAGAGGGACUGCCAGGGAUAACCUGGAGGAAGGUGGGGAUGACGUCAAAUCAUCAUGCCCCUUAUGCUUAGGGCUACACACGUGCUACAAUGGGUGGUACAGAGGGCAGCCAAGUCGUGAGGCGGAGCUAAUCCCUUAAAGCCAUUCUCAGUUCGGAUUGUAGGCUGAAACUCGCCUACAUGAAGCUGGAGUUACUAGUAAUCGCAGAUCAGAAUGCUGCGGUGAAUGCGUUCCCGGGUCUUGUACACACCGCCCGUCACACCACGGGAGUUGGGGGCGCCCGAAGCCGGAUUGCUAACCUUUUGGAAGCGGCCGUCGAAGGUGAAAUCAAUAACUGGGGUGAAGUCGUAACAAGGUA